GUAGUCCACGCCGUAAACGAUGGAUACUUGCUGUUGGGGGUAUCGACCCCCCCAGUAGCGAAGCUAACGCGUUAAGUAUCCCGCCUGUGGAGUACGGUCGCAAGACUAAAACAUAAAGGAAUUGACGGGGACCCGCACAAGCGGUGGAUUGUGUUCUUUAAUUCGAUGAUAAACGAAGAACCUUACCAGGGUUUGACAUCCCAAGAAUUAUGCCGAAAGGCGUGAGUGCUUUAUUGAACUCGGUGACAGGUGAUGCAUGGCCGUCGUCAGCUCGUGUCGUGAGAUGUUUGGUUAAGUCCAUCAACGAGCGCAACCCUUGUGAUUAGUUGUAUUUUUCUAAUCAGACUGCCCCGGCAACGGGGAGGAAGGAGGGGAUGAUGUCAGGUCAGUAUUUCCCUUACAUCCUGGGCUAGAAACGCAAUACAAUGGCCAGUACAAUGUGCAGCGAAGCCGCGAGGUGAAGCAAAUCACAUCAAAGCUGGUCCCAGUUCAGAUAAGAGGCUGAAACUCGCCUCUUUGAAGUCGGAAUCGCUAGUAAUCGCAGAUCAGCAAGCUGCGGUGAAUACGUUCCCGGGUCUUGUACACACCGCCCGUCAAACCAUGAAAGUGACCAACACCCGAAGUCCGAUUCGUCGGCCUAAGGUGGGGGGCAUGAUUGGGGUU
rnacentral:rRNA from 1 species